rnacentral:rRNA from 1 species
UAGGGAAUCUUCCGCAAUGGACGAAAGUCUGACGGAGCAACGCCGCGUGAGUGAAGAAGGAUUUCGGUUCGUAAAACUCUGUUGUUAGGGAAGAAAAAAUGUAUAGUAACUAUAUACAAAAGAGACGGUACCUAACCAGAAAGCCACGGCUAACUACGCGCCAGCAGCCGCGGAAAUACGUAGGUGGUAAGCGUUGUCCGGAAUUAUUGGGCGUAAAGAGCGCGCAGGUGGUUUAGAAAGUCUGAUGUGAAAGCCCACGGCUCAACCGUGGAGGGUCAUUGGAAACUAAUAAACUUGAGUGCAGGAGAGAAGAGUGGAAUUCCUAGUGUAGCGGUGAACUGCGUAGAGAUUAGGAGGAACACCGGUGGCAAGAGCGGCUUUUUGGCCUGCAACUGACACUGAGGCGCGAAAGCGUGGGGAGCAAACAGG